CCCGCGCGAGCGAGAGGGCGAGAGGCCCAUCCGCGCAACGAAAGCGAAUGGCGGGACGCUCUCCCGCAGGGGGCGGCGCCGCCGGCCGGACGUCCUCGAGGUCGGACCGAGCCGGAGCGCUCGCGUCGGGACCCGAAAGGUGGUGAUCUAUCCGUGCGCGCGGCGAAGCCGGGGGAAACCCCGGUGGAGGCCCGUCGACGGUACUGACGUGCAAAUCGUUCGUCCGACGUGCGAAUAGGGGCGAAAGACCAAUCGAACCUCCUAGUAGCUGGUUUCCGCCGAAAAUUUCCCUCAGGAUAGCGGCCAUCGCGGAAACGUUUUGACCGGUAGAGCGAACGACUAGAGGUACCGGGGCCGUAACGGCCUCGACCUAUUCUCGAACUCCGAACGGGCAAGGAGCCGGGGUCGCCCGAUCGGA
rnacentral:rRNA from 1 species